rnacentral:rRNA from 1 species
CGUAGGCGGCUUUAUAAGUCAGAUGUGAAAUCCCACGGCUCAACUGUGGAAGUGCAUUUGAAACUGUGAGGCUUGAGUAUCGGAGGGGAGUGUGGAAUUCCCGGUGUAGAGGUGAAAUUCGUAGAGAUCGGGAGGAACACCGGUGGCGAAGGCGACACUCUGGACGAAUACUGACGCUGAGGCGCGAAAGCGUGGGGAGCAAACA